GCUCAGUUGGUUAAGUGUCAGACUCUUGGUUUCUACUCAGGGCAUGAUCUUAUGGUUUGUGAGUUCAAGCCUCACAUUGGGCU
rnacentral:tRNA from 1 species